UACGGAGGGGACUAGCGUUGUUCGGAAUUACUGGGCGUAAAGCGCACGUAGGCGGAUUUGUAAGUCAGGGGUGAAAUCCCGGAGCUCAACCUCGGAACUGCCUUUGAUACUGCAAAUCUCGAGUCCGGAAGAGGUGAGUGGAAUUCCUAGUGUAGAGGUGAAAUUCGUAGAUAUUAGGAAGAACACCAGUGGCGAAGGCGGCUCACUGGUCCGGUACUGACGCUGAGGUGCGAAAGCGUGGGGAGCAAACAGG
rnacentral:rRNA from 1 species